rnacentral:rRNA from 1 species
CGUGUAGGCGGCUUCGCCAGUCAGGCGUGAAAGCCCCGGGCUUAACCUGGGAACUGCGCUUGAUACUGUGGAGCUAGAGUUCGGGAGAGGAGAGUGGAAUUCCCAGUGUAGAGGUGAAAUCCGUAGAUAUUGGGAAGAACACCAGUGGCGAAGGCGGCUCUCUGGACCGACACUGACGCUGAGGCGCGAAAGCGUGGGGAGCAAACA